CAAAUGAGACUUUUAGAAUGGAAAAAAAUAUGAUGGUGCAGCGGAGACCUGGCAGGCCAAAACUGAAGUCACAAGAUGAUACUAUAAGUAAUACAAUAAAUGAGAAAUGAUGGAACUCUUUGAACAUAAAAAAUUUACAAUAGAACAAGAUCAGAAGUACAGCUGGAUGACGCCCUUCAUCUACCACAAGCACCACAACUACAGUGACAAGGUGAAGAUGGCGCUGAGGAAAAAUAAACAAUGGGUAUAAUGUAAAGUGAAUCAUAUUAAUAAACCAAUCUCAGCUUUU